CCCAAGGAAAACUUAAUUUUGCUUUAUAAUAAGUAUUGGGUCCGUAAAAAGUAAAAUGUUUUUUUUUGUUACUUUCACCCACUAACAAAGUUUACGGUUACGAUAGUUCGAUAAACUUCGAAGGUGUUUUCUGACGUCGGGAAAAUUGGUGAAAGAUUUAAUGACGGCUGAGGAGGAAGCUAGCGAGGAAGGAGGAAGCUAGCAGGGAAGGAGAAAGCGGAAGAGGAGACCGGAGGAAGCGGUUUGUCUUUCGAUGAUGGAAAAUUAAUGGAGUGAGAGGCAUCGGAGUUGGAGAUGACGGACGACCGGUUGCUUACGAAUUCUAGGGUCUUGUCUUGGCUGACUUUUCCGAGUUUUUCAAAAGGAUUUGUACUAUGUCUGGGAGCUCAUCUAUUACCAUGAAACAGGUGAGUCUCGUGAACUUACUUCUCUAUAUGUCUUCUUACUGAGUUUGUUUGCAUUUUGUUAUUGGGCAUUUUUGUUAAUAGUCGUGAAAGCUUCUAGAAAUGUGCCAGUUCACAAACUAUAAAGUUAGGUAUUUGCAUCAGAAAUUUUAUAGAGUGAGCUUCUGAAUUUGUAAAACUUUUCGGGUUUUAACGGAUUCUAGAUGCUGUAGAAGAUCUUCUUGAACUGGUUACGGGCUGAGCCAAUAUCAAAUUAUCUAAUAUCGUUAUUGAGUUCUUUGUUACCAUUAAGGUUUCUGGAAGGAUUAUGAGCAGCAGAAACUAUGUAGCUAAGGAUAUCAGUUUAGGCAUUAGGCCUUAGGCAGCUAUGCUUGAAGGUGUAUUCGAGGUUGCACGAGCUGUGAGAGUCACCAUGGGUCCAAGGUGGAAAACACAUGUAUCCAAGAGGAAGUCCAGCAACAUUUUCAUUCAUAUGAAACAAUUAAUAGGUGUACACAUGGAUAGUUUGUAGGUAUACACAUGGAUAGUUUUUAUAUAUUGCAAUUUGUAGGUGUACAUAUGGACAGUUUGUAGGUGUACACAAAUGUGGUAUGAUUAUUUUGUUGUAGUGCAAUGUGUAUGACACCACGAUGUUUUACAUA